rnacentral:rRNA from 1 species
GAUGAACGCUGGCGGCGUGCCUAAUACAUGCAGGUCGAGCGAACGGACGAGAAGCUUGCUUCUCUGAUGUUAGCGGCGGACGGGUGAGUAACACGUGGAUAACCUACCUAUAAGACUGGGAUAACUUCGGGAAACCGGAGCUAAUACCGGAUAAUAUUUUGAACCGCAUGGUUCAAAAGUGAAAGACGGUCUUGCUGUCACUUAUAGAUGGAUCCGCGCUGCAUUAGCUAGUUGGUAAGGUAACGGCUUACCAAGGCAACGAUGCAUAGCCGACCUGAGAGGGUGAUCGGCCACACUGGAACUGAGACACGGUCCAGACUCCUACGGGAGGCAGCAGUAGGGAAUCUUCCGCAAUGGGCGAAAGCCUGACGGAGCAACGCCGAGUGAGUGAUGAAGGUCUUCGGAUCGUAAAACUCUGUUAUUAGGGAAGAACAUAUGUGUAAGUAACUGUGCACAUCUUGACGGUACCUAAUCAGAAAGCCACGGCUAACUACGUG